UACGUAGGGUGCAAGCGUUAUCCGGAAUUAUUGGGCGUAAAGAGCUCGUAGGCGGUUUGUUGCGUCGGCUGUGAAAUCCCCGAGGCUCAACCUCGGGUCUGCAGUCGAUACGAGCAAACUAGAGUGUUGCAGGGGAGACUGGAAUUCCUGGUGUAGCGGUGAAAUGCGCAGAUAUCAGGAGGAACACCGGUGGCGAAGGCGGCUCUCUGGGACGGUACUGACGCUGAGACGCGAAAGCGUGGGGAGCAAACAGG
rnacentral:rRNA from 1 species